CACACACCUACCUACUACACCCCAUCCCACCCCCUUACCUCCUAGAGUCCUUGAAGCUAGUCUGUAGAACCUUUGUAGGAUAUAUUCACUGGAUAUUUAUUUACCAGUAGUCUUAUGUAAAACAAAUGGAAAGAUAGCACAGAAUCUUAAAGAGUCCUCAGGCCAACUAAGGGUUGUUGUUGGAAAAUACCUGAUUACUUCAUGCACACACACAUUCACCACUCCCCUGUUAUGCAAAACCACUAAUAUGAAGAAAAGUUAUUAGUACUUUGGGGUCAGGGUUUGAGGGCUUUGCCUUCUUCCCCUGCUCUUGGCUCAGAUACUCCACCUCUGAGACAGUUACUUCUUGAAAUUUACAAAGCACUCUAUGAUUGAAGCUCAGGACAAAAAAUGAAGAAGCAUUCUCUUUAAUGGCACAAAGUAUAGAAUUUUGGAAGAAAAAAGUAGUAGUGCAUGUUUGUCAUCUUUUUCUUCAUCUGAAAGGGUAAUAAGCAUUUUCUUUUUUUUUUUUUUUUUACCAUAGAAAGGCAGUUCAUGAUUUGCAGUUCCUACAAAUCUAGAAUUUGAUCUUCAGAUUUUUUUUAAUAAAGCAUAAUAGCCUUUAUUACAGAGUUUGUUAUAAUGGGAUUUUAACACACAUGGUGGAUUUGAUUGAUACAUGCAGCUAGUAUUGCUUAUGAU
rnacentral:lncRNA from 1 species